GGGCAUCCCGGAGGCAGGAAAGGCUUCGGCCGGACAGGGAUGGGCAUGCGGCGCAUUAGGCAGUAGGCGGGGUAACGGCCCACCUAACCGACGAUGCGUAGGGGUUCUGAGAGGAAGGUCCCCCACACUGGUACUGAGACACGGACCAGACUCCUACGGGAGGCAGCAGUGAGGAAUAUUGGUCAAUGGUCGGGAGACUGAACCAGCCAAGCCGCGUGAGGGAUGAAGGUACAGAGUAUCGUAAACCUCUUUUGUCAGGGAACAAAGGCGGGGACGUGUCCCCGGAUGAGUGUACCUGAAGAAAAAGCAUCGGCUAACCCCGUGCCAGCAGCCGCGGUAAUACGGAGGAUGCGAGCGUUAUCCGGAUUUAUUGGGUUUAAAGGGUGCGCAGGCGGUCUGUUAAGUCAGCGGUCAAAGCCCGGGGCUCAACCCCGGCCCGCCGUUGAAACUGGCAGUCUCGAGUUGGAGAGAAGUAUGCGGAAUGCGCGGUGUAGCGGUGAAAUGCAUAGAUAUCGCGCAGAACUCCGAUUGCGAAGGCAGCAUGCCGGCUCCACACUGACGCUGAGGCACGAAAGCGUGGGUAUCGAACAGGAUUAGAUACCCUGGUAGUCCACGCAGUAAACGAUGAAUGCUGGCUGUCCGGGGGGAUUGACCCCUGGGUGGCGAAG
rnacentral:rRNA from 1 species